CCUACGGGGGGCAGCAGUGAGGAAUAUUGGUCAAUGGGCGGGAGCCUGAACCAGCCAAGUCGCGUGAGGGAAGACGGUCCUAUGGAUUGUAAACCUCUUUAGGCGGGGAGCAAUGCCGGGCACGCGUGCCCGGAGGGAGAGUACCCGCAGAAUAAGCAUCGGCUAACUCCGUGCCAGCAGCCGCGGUAAUACGUAUGGGGCAAGCGUUAUCCGGAUUUACUGGGUGUAAAGGGAGCGCAGGCGGCCUGGCAAGCCUGAUGUGAAAUACCGGGGCCCAACCCCGGGGCUGCAUUGGGAACUGCCAG
rnacentral:rRNA from 1 species